rnacentral:lncRNA from 1 species
AAGAUAGCUUGAAUAGCACAACAUAACAUAAAUCCAGUACGACAAACUCUCAAAAAUAAAAUAAUGAAAGAAGACCCUAAGAUAGUUCAAAUUCUAGGAAAUAAAGAAAUAAAUAUUGGAAUGGACACAGGUUUCAGGUACCCUAGCCUAAGAGCCUGAUGCUUCUUCAAAUUGCCUCCGAAGGACGAGUCGUCUAGGGAAGAGGCCACUUCCGUAGGGUUGAAGGGUGAACCAAUAUUGAUAUGGUUAGCUGCUCAAACAUUUUAAAAUUCUUUCUCAAUCAAUAAAGGUUUGGCUAGAACCUUCUCAUGGAUACCCAACUUUUACACCCAAAUCUCUUCAUGACGGAUGCUCACAAAAUAGUCCAUCAUGGAUGAGCAUCGAGCCUAGAUCUUCUCUAACUUUCCUCGAAUGAACUUAACCUUCUCCAAUUUUUAGUAAAAGGUAUACUUUAACCAACCGACAAAUUUUACCUCCCCUAGAGAAGCUGUACUUCAGCCUGAGCUAUCACUCCUUCAACAAAUUUCUCUUUCAAAUGGGUGCACAGUUGUGAAUAAUUAUGAAAGUCCUGAUCAGUUAUUGUCUCUGCACUCUUGACUCUAUUAGAAAGAUUUUUAACUUUGAGGUUUAACUUUGCUUGUGUCUCCUUAUCUACAAAAGAGCAAUUCUUUGAGUUGCAAACCUUUUUUCUAAGGCAGUAAUCGUCUCCUUAAGUUUCCUCAUAUUUAUAUCCACCUAUUCUUAAGAAAGAGAUUCACACAUAUAAGGAUAAGCCCACCACAAAUAAAGAAAUGGAGAGAGAAAAAUUUAUAAAGAGUUUGACAAGCUCACCUGCGACAAAGACCUGGUGAUGCCCUUGAAAAGAGUCCUACGGGAGUAAAAAGCUCCAUACUUCCUCUACAGGGAAGUAAUCUGCCAAGUGAGUUAUGCAUCCCACUGGGGUCCUAUCAAAUUAGUAGAACUAGGGACUACAGGCAUAUCUGAAUAACUACCUCAUUGAUUCCAUCUGCAAGACAUGGAUCAAUAUGAGGCGGAAAGGGAUGAGACACCAAGGAUUGGUAUUUUGAGGCAAUAACUUUAGGAACAUCCAUCUAGGACGUACUCCCUCUAGUAGAGAAGAGACCCACUCAACUAUUACCUCUUAUUUGAGGAUAAAAAUCUCAUAUC